ACGUAGUCACGCUUUCAAACAUUGCUUUAAGACCCAAAAGGAGGGACUGGAAGUGCUUGGAAACUCUGGUUGAUGUCCUGAAAUUGCUUUCUCUUAGUGGAGGUAUUUGUUGUUAGCACUGGCUGGUUGGAAGAGCAGACCAUCCACCGCAUGUACAAAAACAAAAUUUCUUCUAUGUAAGGUGAAAGAAGUCUUAGUAACCCUAAUUUUCUGUCACUUCACAACCACAAACCAGGCACUCCUAUUUUAAGGCCAGAUUGUAACAGUGCCAGCCAUCCAAUCACCCAAUUUGGUGCAUCUGGAAGUACAUCCUGAAAACCGCACCACCUAGAAUGCCAGAACUGUAAAAGAAGCAAAUCUUAGGCAACUUCUUACAUAAAAGCUAAAGAAAUGAAAAUUAGUUAUCAAGACCUGCUGUUCUUGUAGCAAUAAAAUGUGCUGGAGGACAGAAGCUCCAGGAUUCCUUGGAGCCCCAACGUAGCGCAGUAGAAAUAACCACAAGUACAUAUAUGAAUAUAGGUAGUACAGGGGGAAAUUGUUACAUGUAGUGAAGUCUUCAGUAUUUUUCAGGUUUUAAAAAUGUUGUUUAAUUUCUACACCCUAUAUUUUUGUAUUUUGUUGUUGCAGCCCUGCACAAUAAGUGACCUAUGUCUUCGCACGCCUGUCAUUCCACCUUUUUUCCUCAGUGAUGUGGAUUACAGCCAAGAUAGCAAGUUGGUUUUUUUUUUCCUGCCUCAGUAUCAGGUGGAAAAACUAGAGGUGGGAAAGAGGUCAGAAAAUGGUGACAGAUAUUCUGACAUGACUGGGGAAACUGUUUCACAAGGAAAGAUUAAAAAGACUAAGAAAGUAUGUCUUGGUUAAGUGCGAAGGACAAACAGGAUUGGACUUCUUGUUUCUUGUAAUAAUCUCUGCUGCUGAGUGGAGCUAUCUGGUACAAAUUUUGGUCUAACCCACUGUUAGAAGCAAAGAGAAAACUUGUGGUGAAAAUCUUGGGCCAUUGCUGCGAUGUGUAGAGUAACAAGGAAAUUACAAACACCCCUAUGGUGUUGAAUGAAGAGGCCCAAGCAUUACAGGAGAUGUAAUUCCUAAUGUUUUACUCUGUGAGGCUCAAAUCCUACGGUGCCCACCAGUAAUAAGCAGUAACCACUCAGUCAGGUCUGCUGUGUGAUGAUAAAGACCCUUUCCACGAUUCGUCUCUGAAUCACAUUGUGUCGGAAGGGACACUGCGAGGGGAAGGUCAUUAAACUGCAUAGACAACAAGCUCUCUCAGCAUGGCAAUUACAGCCCUCAUUUCCUACAAUACACACCUUAUUGAACAUGUCUCGCUCGUGGUAGCCUAUUUGUCUUGGAAGUAUGUCAAAAUCUUCAGAUUAAGUCCUUUAAUAGGUUCCAAUAAAUGACAGCUCUGAAUCUUCUUCCCUCAGACUGAAUUAACAAGUUACAUCUCUGGGAGCACAAUUCUCUCUGCGAGCAUUAUCCCAGAGCAUUUGUCAGAAAAUCUGUUGCCAAACCUCAUUUCAAAUGACUGUCAUUGUCUCGCAUCACUCUGGUCUGAAUGUUUUCUGUGUUGAAAUCGUGGUCUGAGGAAUGCUGGAGAUGUAACCAGACUACAGAAUCUUUCCAAACCAGACAAAGCAGCAUUUACAUCCAUACAUUACAUUUACAGUUUAUCAUUAGGAACUGUGGCUGAAGAGCAGCAGAGGUACAAGCUGGCAUUCUGUGUGUACAGAUCUGUAGUUAAGCCUUGGCUAAUGAAACAGCGCACAAAACUUUUACUUAUGUGUGCACCACGGCCAACAUCAGGAAAAAAUCCAAACCAAAAGUGCAAAAAGGAUGGUGCAAUCCUAACUUUUUUUCCCCUAAGAUUUUAAAUAUGUUAAUUUAUUAAUUUUUUUUUUUUUUGCUAAAAUUUUACAUAUCAACAAUACUGGAAUAAAGCUCAGUUGAAGCAGUUACUGUGUAUUCUUCAUUACAGAAAUAGCAGCAGCAAAUUCAUAGAAUCAUAGAAUGGUUUGGUUCAGAAGGGACCUUAAAGGUCAUCCAGUUCCAGAUCCCUGCCAUGGGCAGGGACACCUUCCAGUAGACCAGGUUGUUGAGAGCUCUAUCCAACCUGGCCUUGAACACUUCCAGGGAUGGGGCAUCCACAUCUUCUCUGGGUAACCUGUGCUAGUGCCUCACUAUCCUCGCAGUAGAGAAUGUCUUCCCAAUAUGCCAUCUAAACCUGCCCUUUGUCAGUUGGAAGCCACUCUCCCUUGUCCUAUCACCACACACCCUUAUGAAAAGUCCCUCUCCAGCUUUCUUCUUCUUGGUCUGCCUUUUUAACAGAGAACAAAUAAAAACAAAUCUUUCCUUUGGUUUCUCUUUGCAGUUGUACAGUUCCUGUGUUCUGGUGUGUUCUAGAGUUAAAAUGAAUUUGUGGAUCCCAGCAACAAAGUGACCAACAUCUGCCCCCAACAGAAACAAUUAUUGCAAGUGAAAUCCAUGAAUUUUUUUCGAUGCAAUGAGUUUGGAUGUUUGGAGUGGAUCUGUGGAAAUUAUUGAAAGAACGUGGAGUCAGAGAUAUAAGCUUUACUUUUAAAUUCAAAAGCAGUGUGAAGAUUCACAACUCUAGGAAGAGCCAAAAUAGGACGUGUGUGUCCAUUGCUACUCAAAACCAGACCCUAGGUUUUACCACUACUGUUGAUAGCAAUAAAAGAAACAUACCUAUGUCUGAGAAGACAAGUGUGAAUCCUACAUACAUGUGUGAAUUUCUAAUGAGGCUCUUUUUGCCUUUAGAAGAAAAUGUUUCUGUUUAUCUUUAAUAGAAAUCCAUUGUGUGUAGCUAUGUAAUGGAAUCUCUCAUUUUUUAUUUGCAUCUGUUAGCUUUUUAUUGCAAAUAGGGCUCUAAAUCUUACUUUAGAAAUGAGUAUUGCACUGUAUGUCAGUGCAUGUGCAAAGGAAGCCAUUAAUAAUGUUCGUUAUGAAAACCGGAUCCUAAGUGUUUUUAGUCCAUUAGCCAUUCAUUUUUAUUUAUGUCUUCUUUCAAGAAGAAUUUGAAGCCAGAAUGCAAAAGAUGAAGUUUGGAAAAGGAGCCACACAUGAGGUCAUAAAAAGCUGUCACUUUCAAGAUGCUAGAAAAUUCUUUUUUUUCUGUAACCUUUACAAAGACAAAUGAGUAUACAUCAUUUACUGCUUUGCCAUCAUUAAAUUACAGUGCUUUUAGGAAACAAAACUCUGGCAAAGCAAGCCAAAGUAAUCUGCUAAUUUCACAAAAUUAGAAUAUAUCACACUUCCUUGGCCUGUUUAAAUGUACUGCAGGAAGCAGCUCUCUCAGAGUCUUAGUCUCUUCCCCUCAAGGCUUAUAUGAUGUAACUUUAUUCUGGACUAUUUGUCCUAACUGCCAAAGUGUGUAGCUUUCUGAUCUCUUUUAGGAUAGAAAACUUUUAAAAUUGAAUACUGGAAAAUGGGUAGCCAGCUUGCCAUCUUUAUGGACUUACUCCCACUGACCUGCAUUUUUUCAUAUGUAUUACUGGAAAAAAUUAGGCCCUAGCUAUAAAGUGUCCUGUGAUCCUAUUUUCAGCAGACACCCCCAGGAACAAAAUUCUGUUCUCAAAAGAUCCUCAUGAGCUAAGCGAAAGCACAAUCAUAUUGAAAAAGGGAAAGACUUUUUCUCUCUUAAAUAACCAUUAAAUUUCUCUUGCAUUUUCUUUCUCUCUAAAAUACUGUGGCAAUUGCAUGAUUUAUAAAUAUAAAACUGUAGUUUCUAUUUUAUCUGAAAGUGAAAUCACCUUGUACCUUUGAGACUGGAAAAAAAUAAAAAAGGUUUCUUAUGACUUCCUUGGAAUAUAGUUGCUGUCAGCUCCAGAGAUUUCUCAUGUAUGUUUACUGUUUUAAUGUAUCCCUGAAGCUAUGACUUGAUCCUGUUGCAUUUAGAAGUUGUGUUUGGGAUUUGAAAUGUCAGCAGAGGAGCUGCUCUCAAUGCAUCACCACUGCCAUAGGUAGCAGUGGCUGUGGCAGCCACUUCCAGGGACUGCUGCUGUUCAUAUUUCACCAAAGCCUCCAGAAAAGAGGCUGUGUGAGAAAUAGGGCAGCGUA